UAGCUAGGAGUGGGAUUGCAGGGUUGUAUGAUAAAUGUAUUUUUAACUUUAUAAGAAACUGCCAAAUUGUUUCCUAAAGUGUCUGGGCCAUGUUGCAUUCCCACCAGUAAUGUGUGAAAGUUCCAGUUGCUCUGCAUCCAUGUCAGCAAUUGUUAGGUGUUUUCAUAGGUCACUGAUAUUGACAUUAAAAUUCAUAUGGAAAACUAAAGGGCCAGAGGGAUCGGAGACGAUUUCAAAGAUUGAGAAGGCAAAAUUCUUCCUAUAGCUUACCAACAUCAUCCCAAACACAUAAAAGAGCAUUUUUUAAAAAGCCAAACCUUGUUGUUCCAAAUUGAAUACAUGCUUGACUUUUCCUAUUCUCAUCUUCAUUUUGGUAUCGCUUGUGUAAAGUCAGAGACGG